UACGUAGGGUGCAAGCGUUGUCCGGAAUUAUUGGGCGUAAAGAGCUCGUAGGCGGUCUGUCGCGUCGGCUGUGAAAACUCGGGGGCUCAACCCCGAGCCUGCAGUCGAUACGGGCAGACUAGAGUGCUGUAGGGGAGACUGGAAUUCCUGGUGUAGCGGUGAAAUGCGCAGAUAUCAGGAGGAACACCGGUGGCGAAGGCGGGUCUCUGGGCAGUAACUGACGCUGAGGAGCGAAAGCGUGGGGGAGCAAACAGG
rnacentral:rRNA from 1 species